rnacentral:rRNA from 1 species
ACGGGUGAGUAAUACAUCGGAACGUAUCCUGGAGUGGGGGAUAGCCCGGCGAAAGCCGGAUUAAUACCGCAUACGCUCUGAGGAGGAAAGCGGGGGACCUUCGGGCCUCGCGCUCAAGGGGCGGCCGAUGGCGGAUUAGGUAGUUGGUGGGGUAAAGGCCUACCAAGCCGACGAUCCGUAGCAGGUCUGAGAGGACGACCAGCCACACUGGGACUGAGACACGGCCCAGACUCCUACGGGAGGCAGCAGUGGGGAAUUUUGGACAAUGGGGGCAACCCUGAUCCAGCAAUGCCGCGUGUGUGAAGAAGGCCUUCGGGUUGUAAAGCACUUUUGUCCGGAAAGAAAUCAUCGGGGCCAAUACCCCUGGUGGAUGACGGUACCGGAAGAAUAAGCACCGGCUAACUACGUGCCAGCAGCCGCGGUAAUACGUAGGGUGCGAGCGUUAAUCGGAAUUACUGGGCGUAAAGCGUGCGCAGGCGGUGCUGUAAGACCGAUGUGAAAUCCCCGGGCUUAACCUGGGAACUGCAUUGGUGACUGCAGCGCUGGAGUAUGGCAGAGGGGGGUGGAAUUCCACGU